rnacentral:rRNA from 1 species
UGGGGAAUAUUGCACAAUGGGCGCAAGCCUGAUGCAGCAACGCCGCGUGAGGGACGACGGCCUUCGGGUUGUAAACCUCUUUUGGCAGGGAAGAAGCGAAAGUGACGGUACCUGCAGAAAAAGCACCGGCUAACUACGUGCCAGCAGCCGCGGUGAUACGUAGGGUGCAAGCGUUGUCCGGAUUUACUGGGCGUAAAGGGAGCGUAGGCGGACUUUUAAGUGAGAUGUGAAAUACCUGGGCUCAACCUGGGUGCUGCAUUUCAAACUGGAAGUCUAGAGUGCAGGAGAGGAGAGUGGAAUUCCUAGUGUAGCGGUGAAAUGCGUAGAGAUUAGGAAGAACACCAGUGGCGAAGGCGACUCUCUGGACUGUAACUGACGCUGAGGCUCGAAAGCGUGGGGAGCAAACA